rnacentral:misc_RNA from 1 species
GCAAACUUGGUCAUUUAGAGGAAGUAAAAGUCGUAACAAGGUUUCCGUAGGUGAACCUGCGGAAGGAUCAUCAAAAAAUUUUUGGACCUCUUUUUAUGGAUCUAAAAAAAAAAAUCCAUAAAUCCACUUUAUGUGCAACUAUUGAAAAGGAAGGUUGUCUCUGGGAGAUAAUUUUCAGAUUAUGAAAUUUCAUCUCCCAGAGGUAUUUUAAUCUACAAAAAUUUUUUUUCAUGACUUAAUUUUACAUAAAAAAUAAAAACAACUUUCAACAACGGAUCUCUUGGCUCUCGCAUCGAUGAAGAACGCAGC